UGGAGUUUCUGGGCUUAUGAAGCGCUUUUGUUGAGUAUGUGGUUUUACUUUAUGAGCAUUAGCAGAGCAGAUUAAUGAUUUGUAUAUUUCUUUCAGUUGUCAAGCCCUUCUGUCAAAAGACUGGAUUCCUCACAGACAGGAGACAGGAACAGGAGUGAAAAUGCUAAAACACGUUCCAUGGAUGUUUUUUCGUUGUCAUCCCAGGAUAAAACAGAGAUAAUGGGUGCUAUUGUGAAAAUU